rfam:Danio rerio chromosome 4, GRCz11 reference primary assembly.
GUAUUGGUGGUUCAGUGGUAGAAUUCUUGCCUGCCAUGCGGGAGACCCGGCUCCUAUUCCCGGCCAAUUCA